rnacentral:rRNA from 1 species
UUCUUUAAGGCAUUAUAUAAAGUACACCCUGCUCAAUGUAUAAACCUUGAAUAGCCGCAGUCUGACUGCGCUAAGGUAGCAUAAUAACUUGCUUCUUAAUUAGAAGAUAGAAUGAAAGGAUAAACAUUAGAACGUCAUCUAUUCCUAACAAACAAAAUUAAUAAAAAGGUCAAAACUCCUUUAACAAAAAGCGGGACGACAAGACCCUGAUAAACUCACCAUUUAGUUGGGGAAACAUUACAAAAAAACUUUGCUAAAAACUAACACCUCACUUUAACAAAAAAAAGAACAAGUUACUACAGGGAUAACAGCGUUAUUUCUUUCAAGAGAUCUCAUCAAAAAAGAAGAUUACGACCUCGAUGUUGAAUUAAUACCCCUUUAAAAGGAGCAUAAACCAAACAAAGGCUGUCUGUUCGACAAUUAAAAAAUU